rnacentral:rRNA from 1 species
UUGAACGCUGGCGGCAGGCCUAACACAUGCAAGUCGAACGGUAACAGGAAGCAGCUUGCUGCUUCGCUGACGAGUGGCGGACGGGUGAGUAAUGUCUGGGAAGCUGCCUGAUGGAGGGGGAUAACUACUGGAAACGGUAGCUAAUACCGCAUAAUGUCGCAAGACCAAAGAGGGGGACCUUCGGGCCUCUUGCCAUCGGAUGUGCCCAGAUGGGAUUAGCUUGUUGGUGGGGUAACGGCUCACCAAGGCGACGAUCCCUAGCUGGUCUGAGAGGAUGACCAGCCACACUGGAACUGAGACACGGUCCAGACUCCUACGGGAGGCAGCAGUGGGGAAUAUUGCACAAUGGGCGCAAGCCUGAUGCAGCCAUGCCGCGUGUAUGAAGAAGGCCUUCGGGUUGUAAAGUACUUUCAGCAGGGAGGAAGGGAGUAAAGUUAAUACCUUUGCUCAUUGACGUUACCCGCAGAAGAAGCACCGGCUAACUCCGUG